rnacentral:rRNA from 1 species
AAACUCAAAGGAAUAGACGGGGACCCGCCAAGUGGUGGAGCAUGUGGUUUAAUUUGAGAUACGCGAAGAACCUUCCCUAGCCCUGACAUAUUUGAAAAUCCCCCCAGAGANGGAGGAGUGCCUUCGGGAGUUCAUAUAACAGGUGCUGCACGGCUGUCGUCAGCUCGUGUCGUGAGAUGUUGGGUUAAGUCCCGCAACGAGCGCAACCCUCGUCACUAGUUACUAACGAUUCGGUCGAGGACUCUAGUGAGACUGCCUUCGCAAGAAGGAGGAAGGUGAGGACGACGUCAAGUCAUCAUGGCCCUUACGGCUAGGGCAACACACGUGCUACAAUGGCCAGGACAGUGAGAAGCGAUACCGCGAGGUGGAGCAAAUCUAUAAACCUGGUCUCAGUUCGGAUUGUAGUGUGCAACUCGACUACAUGAAGCUGGAAUCACUAGUAAUCGUAGAUCAGCUAUGCUACGGUGAAUACGUUCCCGGGUCUUGUACUCACCGCCCGUCACACCAGG